CCUACGGGUGGCAGCAGUGAGGAAUAUUGGUCAAUGGACGCAAGUCUGAACCAGCCAUGCCGCGUGCAGGAAGACGGCUCUAUGAGUUGUAAACUGCUUUUGUACGAGGGUAAACUCAGGUACGCGUAUCUGUCUGAAAGUAUCGUACGAAUAAGGAUCGGCUAACUCCGUGCCAGCAGCCGCGGUAAUACGGAGGAUUCAAGCGUUAUCCGGAUUUAUUGGGUUUAAAGGGUGCGUAGGCGGUCGGAUAAGUUAGCGGUGAAAUCCCGAGGCUCAACUUCGGAAUUGCCUCUGAUACUGUUAGGCUAGAGAGCAGUUGCGGUAGGCGGAAUGUAUGGUGUAGCGGUGAAAUGCUUAGAGAUCAUACAGAACACCGAUUGCGAAGGCAGCUUACCAAGCUACGUCUGACGUUGAGGCACGAAAGCGUGGGGAGCAAACAGGAUUAGAUACCCGAGUAGUC
rnacentral:rRNA from 1 species